rnacentral:lncRNA from 1 species
AGAGAGAGAGAGAGAGCACAACGCAGACAUAAGUUUCAUGCUUUCUGUUCGGGAUGUUAAGUGGUAUAUUGUAUUCUCUGAAUACCUUAACAUGAUUAUGUUGCAUAUUUAUUAUUGAAAUACAAUAAUUAACUUCCAUUCUUAUGACCUUAAAGAUCAAUCUAUGUACUUGACACACACACAGCACAGCAUGGGUAUAAGUUUUGUCUUCAUGCUAUCUAUUUUGGAACGUUAAGUGUAUUGCAUUCAGUGAAUACUUGACAUGAUUAUGUUAUAUAUUUCUUACUUAAAUAGAUAAUUAACUUCCAUUCUCAUGAACUCAAAGAUCAAUAUAUCUACUAGACAAACACACAUGUACACAGAGCACUGCAGAGAUAAGCUUCAUGCUAUUGGUUUGGGAUCUUCAGUUAUAUUUUGUAUUCAGUGAAUACAUUAACAUGAUUAUGUUGCAUACUUCUUGUUUAAGUAGUUAAUUAACUUUCAUUCUCAUGACCUCAAAGAUCGAUCUAUCUACUUGACAUGCAAACAUACGCAGAGCACAGCACAGACAUAAGCUUCAUGCUGUCUGUUUGGGAUGUUCUGGUAUAUCGCAUUCAGUGAAUACCAUAACAUGAUUAUGUUGCAUACUUAUUUAAAUAGACAAUUAGCUUCCAUUCUUAUGACCUUGAAGAAGAUCAAUCUAUCUACUUGGCACAUACACCCACACACACACACACACAAAGAGAGAGAGAGAGAGAGAGAGAGAGAGAGAGAG